GUGAACGUUUUUAAUCUUGCCAUGCUCUCAAAACAGUGCUGGCGGCUGAUAGAGGACCCAGAGUCUCUUUGUGCCAGGAUUCUUAAGGCGAAAUAUUAUCCUAACUGUAGCUUACUCCAAGCAACACUAAAGAGUGGCUCAUCGUUCACCUGGUAGAGUAUUAUGAAAGGGUUGGAAAACUUCAAGUUGGGAUAUAUCUGGAGAAUUAGAACGGGGGAAAGAGUGAAUAUAUGGUCUGACCCUUGGAUCCCAGUCACUCUGUGCAUUUUAAAACCGAACCAAAAAACCAUACCAAAAAUAAACCGAACCGAACCGAUUUUUUUGUUUUUAUGGUUUCUGGUUUCGGUAUGGUAUGAACUUUUCAUACCGAUUUGA
rnacentral:rRNA from 1 species